GCGCCCAUGGGGCCGACCUUGUUGGAUGAAGCUCCUCUUCUCCCUCGCCUGCUUCUCUGUGAACUGUAUAUGCUGGAACAAAGCGUUCAGGUUCAUUCCUGGCUUCUCCCGGGGCUCUGUGGGCUGAGCUCUUGGUGAGGGCUCCGGGAGGGUCCCCACAGCGCUGCCCUCAGGCCUCACCUUCAGCCUCGGCCUCCCUGGGCUGAUCUCUUUCCCCUUCUUGCUCUAAGAAAGAAAACGUGGGUUCUGAUGAAAUUUAAAACCCUGAAACUAGCACAUUAUGUUGCAAAAAAUGCAAUUUUUUUUUUUAAAUGGCACAAAGUGCAACUAAGGGGAAAGAGACCCCAGAUCACAGAGGUCUGGGGACACGGCUGAGGGGACACAGGGACAGAGACGGAGGAAAACUGUGACACAAACAUCAGUUUGAAAGCCUUAGUUUCCUGAUAUCAACUAAGUCCUGCCUCUGCUGGCAGAAAGUCACUUACCUUCAUGUGAUUUUACUUGUGUGCUGUACCAGUGACCCAGAUCACCUCAGAUGGAAGAGCAAAGCACUUGGCCACCUCCCUGUCAAGGAAACCUGAGCAGGGCUGAAUUUUAAGUCCACCCACAAGAUGGAAAGCAAACUCUGCUAUGUCUAACUCGAAGAGUCAGCACAGUAUUUCACUGCUCGUUGUAAUUACAAGAUACUGGGUUCCUCUGCAAAAGUGUUGGAUUGACACCUUGAAAUAGGGCAGGUGUCAGGGCAGAUUUGGUCCCACAAUUUGGAAGAAGAUAUGUACAGUGGCUUGAUAGUGUAUCAGCACAACCUCUGGUGAGGACAGGGACACAAGAGUUUAGGAGAAACUUGCUGGCCAGGAAGAGCUGUGGGAAUUCACUACCAAGUCUGAUUAAAGCCCAGGGAGAGGGGGUGGGGGAUGGCAGAUGUGAAACUCUGACUUUCUUUUCUUAUACUUUCCCAUCAAUUAAGUCACUUAGUAAUCUGGAUUGCACCUCCACGUGUUUUUUAUUUGAUUGCUGUGUGAAUGCUCAUUGCUUACUUUGCCUUUGUUUUAUGGGGUUUUUUUCUGAUACUUACUGAAAGCUCUAAACCCAAAUAAAUGACAGGUUCAGUAAAAACUCAAUCUUGCUUUUGUGCUGCAAAAGCCCAUUCAAGGUUUCAUAAGCCCCUCAAAAUUGAUUUCUGGAGCGCUGUUAUUUAAUCUGCCCUUUACAAAACUUUAAUGCCUUGAGCAAAUCCUUCUUGCCUUAUUCCCACCAAAAGGCACUUUGACUUCAUGGUAAGCAGAUAAAUGUAAGACAAAAAAUGCAGUUCAGACUGUUCCCCCAGUCCCUAGUAAUUCUCUAACUUCUCUAUUCUCCCUUUCUCAUUAUUGAAGAAAGCCUCCUGUGUAAACACUACUUUUUGUGCUCCCAUGGCACACAGACUUUUUCCCAUCACUAGUUUGCUCUCCCUCACCUGCUAGAUCUGACUCAUUCGUCAACUUUAGCUUUGCUUCACCUCUUCACUCCCCUAAGAAUUGUAUUUAAAGUUCAUGGCACUGCUCUUAUUCUCAGCAUACUUUCUCUUCACAUACCUAGCGGCACUGCAGAUAAUACUGUGUAAUGUUCCCUGGGCUCAGUGGCUCCAACUUCAAUAUUUUCUUGCAAGGUUCACUCUUUAAAAGGAGGUCUGUGGCAGAGAUGGCAAAGGAAAUCUGCAGGCUAACCCUGGGCCAGGCAAUGGAUUAAUUCAGCCUCCUUGUCAGCUCAGGGGUACAUUGUCAUCCGAGCUGCUGCCAGCCAGAACAACCCAACACAGUGCUCCAACACUGCAGCCUUUGCAAGUGGAACUGGCUUCCACAUCCACCACAUCCACUGCCUUGGAGGGAGGCACCUCUGCGUGUGACACCUCUGAAGAGUUUGCUGUCAUUACUUCACAUGCAGAGGAGGAGGCAGAAGGGCACCAGCAGGACUGAAUGCAGCAAAGUUCUGAUUUAGCUGUGCAUGCCUGGCCACCAGGAGCAGAUGGCCUGGAUGGACACAGGCUGCUCUUGCUUGGUGCUGUUGCUGCAUUCAGAACAUUUGGGCCCAGUAUUUGUCACCAGGCAAGGUGACAGGAAGCUUAAAACACUUACUUCAAUCUACUUGGAAAGAAAAGGGUUUGAAGCACUAAUUUUACUGAAGUUUUAGUGUCAAAUAACCGCACUACCCACAUUACUUUGUCUUUUCUCUGUGAAAAGUUUCCAAUGAAAGAAAACCAACUACUGUAAACCAGCUUCCAAGUAAAAAGAAACCAGUAACUACAGCUACAUGAAGACUGAAGUACUAGCAGUUAAUGCUGGCAGCAAGUACCUUGGAGUAUUUGGUUCUGCCUUCCACAUUAUUUAUACUGUAAUGGCCUUUAAACAAUAAUCCAGGGUGAUUGUAUUGUCAUCCUUCCUAUAAUGAAGUUUGUUGUUACCAGCUGCACCCUAUGUAUGUUAUGUUAUGUUAAUUGUUCUGAAACUUUUAUAAAAAACCUGACCAGCAGAAUAUUUUAAAAAGCUUAAAUAUCUUUAAAAUAUUUGCAUGAAGUACUUCUGUGUGGCUUACACUUUUACUUUUAUCUGAAGAGAUUCAUGAGUUGAAUGAUUGACAGAUACAAAUUGUAAGGCAGACCUUGGUUUGACUGAAAUCAACAGCAAAACAUUCAAUGACUUAAUUUUACCCCAGGGCAAGUAAAAGGCAGUUGGAAAACACUGUGCAAAGACCCAAAGGAUUAUGACUCCAGCCACAAAGUGGUUUAUGGGGUUUUGUCUGCAACAGAAAUUUAUAAAUAAUUCCAUAUAUGAAAGAGAAAAUGAAAAAAGCCCUAAUUUCUGCUGUGGAAAAAUGUCCUUGUGGUUUGUAAGGAGCUGUCUCCCACCUACUGUCCUGGUAAAGAGUGUGUAGCAGUUGGAUAUUCUGAGGAACUGUAUGCAGCAUGGACUUUCUUCUUGGAUCUUGAUUUUCAAGCAUGGUUGCAUUUUAAACUUUUUUUCUCGAUUAAAACCUUUUAACCUUUUUUUCACUUUGGGUGGUAGUUUUCCUGAGAUGAGUCAAAAUACUGGCAAGAGGAGUGUUUAGAUAGCAUUCAGAAUUUUUGGAUGCAUGUUUUCCAGCUGUUUUGUUAUUUCUGAACUGUCAGCGACAUUUUAUUCCACUUUUAACACUUUAAAUGCGAGUUCAGUUUUACUGUAACAGGAAACACCCCACAAAAACUGGGUUUUAUAACAGUAAAAUUAGUUAUUAAUGCAGAGAUUUGCAAUGUGUUGCUUGUUUAAAUGCCAAAUAACUUGUGUGUAUAGAUGUCUGUGUGUAUGUAUGUAUUCAGGACAUUAAUGCAUGAAUGGUUCUGUAAAAAGUGGCCUGGAUUUCAGUCUGAUUUUCAGUUGCUAUCCUCUGCUGAGAAUCUUGUAGCUAUUCUUGACUUAGGCUUCUAAAUGACAGGAGAAUUAUGCUACCUUUGUGUUAGAUACACAGAUAACUUCUAUACAGAGCUUAUCGUGUGCCGUAAUGAUGUCAAAAUUACCAGUGAAGAAGUAAUCAUCUCUCGGUAUCACUCAGCUCAAUUUCUAUUGAAGUGUUUGGAAGACCAACUUGUUUCAUUAAAUACCAGCGAUUUGAAAAGCUGAAGCUGUCUCCAGUCGUCAAUGCUAUCACCAACUUAGCACCUUCUCAUUACCCUGAAAUACUCCAGAAAUCUGGUCAUUGUCUUUGUUCCUCCAAUUACAUCCUUGUAUGUGCAGCAGAUAAUAGACCUCGUGACUGUGUAAUAUGCCUCUUCACAUUAAACACCAAACCACAAAA